GUUUAGGGGUAAACCUGAGAAACCCGAAAGGUCGAAAGGAAGAAAUUCAUUCGCGAUCUGUUGCCGGCGAAUAGAUGUACGUCUGACGAACAAUUGAUGAACUUGUACCAUCCGCAAGGGUAGCUGCAUAUUUGUUAUGUUGAACGCUUUGUACGUCUAUCGAUCCAGGCGAUGAACGUGUGCAAUUUUCUUCUGGUAGGACGUCGUGAUUCGUUGGGAUUUGUCGGUCUACGGCGAUAAAGUAAACAGGUCCGUCGGUACGGWAAAACUAGUUUUUAUCGUUUUUACCGAUGGAUUUACUCGAUCUGAUCGAAUUACCCGACGAUAUGCAAACGGUUAAAGGUCGCUAACUUUUAGGUUUGCGUUAGAGAUGUCGGCAAGYGCCAUUAGGUUUGAUUAUAUGUUAAUCGAGGUCAAUCUUUGAUUACAAAUCACUAAUAGGUACUGUUGGCCGUGCAUUAAAUUCAAAUUUUCUAACAGACYUGCUCGAUUUCAAUCGGUACCGAUCUACGACGCUACAGCUUUGGGUAAUUUCAGGACCCGUCUUGAAACACGGACCAAGGAGUCUAGCAUGUACGCAAGUCAUUGGGUUACGCGUAUGUGAAACCUAAGGGCGUAAUGAAAGUGAAUAAAAGAAGGUAAAACGGAGACGUUUCGUGCGAAUUCGUUUUCUUUUUUUAAUGGAAAGAUGAAUGGACGAUAUUACAUAUGUAUGUAUGUAGGUAUCUCUGCUAUUUCGCAUUUCCGGGGCGUUUCGUAUUUUUGUUUGAAAUUUAUUUUUCGAACGAAAUGAGGCGCACCAUGAGCGUACACGCUGGGACCCGAAAGAUGGUGAACUAUGCCUGGUCAGGACGAAGUCAGGSGAAACCCUGAUGGAGGUCCGUAGCGAUUCUGACGUGCAAAUCGAUCGUCGGAAC
rnacentral:rRNA from 1 species